AGUCGUUCAGGUGCUGGACAACAAUGUUGUUAUAAUGGUGAUUCAUUAAUAGUAGGCCCUCCUGGCGGUGGUUCAUUUGAUAUAGCAUCUCCUGUCGAAAACUUCUGGAGUCACAUGGGACAAGAUGUUAUACCGUGGUGGGCUUGUUGUAAGUUUUCUGAUAGCUGUUAUAAAUAUUAUCAAAGACGACCUUCCGAUGAUGGCUCACGAUACGUACCACCGCCAAUUG